rnacentral:rRNA from 1 species
GAUGAACGCUAGCGACAGGCCUAACACAUGCAAGUCGAGGGGCAGCACAAGGAGCAAUCUGAGGUGGCGACCGGCGCACGGGUGAGUAACACGUAUGCAACCUACCUGUAAGAGGGGAAUAACCCGUUGAAAAACGGACUAAUACCGCAUAACACUGUAGAACCGCAUGGUUUGACAGUUAAACAUUUAUGGCUUACAGAUGGGCAUGCGCAUGAUUAGCUAGUUGGUGAGGUAACGGCUCACCAAGGCAACGAUCAUUAGGGGUUCUGAGAGGAAGGUCCCCCACACUGGUACUGAGACACGGACCAGACUCCUACGGGAGCAGCAGUGAGGAUAUUGGUCAAUGGGCGAGAGCCUGAACCAGCCAAGUCGCGUGAAGGAUGAAGGUUUUAUGAAUUGUAAACUUCUUUGCAGGGGAAUAAAGUGUCCGACGUGUCGGAUUUUGUAUGUACUCUGCGAAUAAGGAUCGGCUAACUCCGUGCCAGCAGCCG